UGCCAGUCCCGCGCCGUGCGCCCGCACUCCUCAGCCCUUGGGAGGUAGAUGGGACUGGGCGCCGUGGAGCAGGGGGCGGCGCUCGUCGGGGAGGCUCGGGUCGCACAGGAGCCCAUGGAGGUGGGGGGAGGCUCAGGCACGGCUGGGCUGCAGGUCCGGAGCCCUGCCCCGCGGGAAGGCAGCUAAGGACGGGCGAGAAAUUAAGCACAGCAGCUGCUGGCCCAGGUGCUAAGCCCCUCACUGCCUGGGGCUGGCGGGGCCGGCAGGCCGCUCCGAGUGCGGGCCCGCCGAGCCUACGCCCACCCGGAACUCGCGCUGGCCCGGAAGCACCGCGCGCAGCCCCGGUUCCGGCCCGCGCCUCUCCCUCCACACCUCCCCACAAGCUGAGGGAGCCGGCUGCGGCCUUCGCCAGCCCAGAAAGGGGCUCCUACAGUGCAGUGGCGGGCUGAAGGGCUGCUCAAGCGCCGCCAAAGUGGGAGCCCAGGCAGAGGAGGCGCCCAGAGCGAGCGAGGGCUGUGAGGACUGCCAGCACGCUGUCACCUCUCACUCAUAUAGAUUGCCAAUCUAUUUGUGAACCAGGUUUGCUGGAGUUUGGAUUUACUACUGAGUCAUAUUUGGAGCAUGCUGGAAUCUUACAACUGAGAUUACCGAGUCAGAAACUAGUUUGACUGUUCUCGUCGGCAUGGUUGAGACAUUAUCCCUGGCAGAAGGCUGGACUGGCAUGGACAUCAUUUGAUGAGUUCGUCUCCUCUUAACAAUCAAAGCCUGUUUUCCAGUGCGAAUAAACUGUUGCCUUAUAUAUUGUUUUCCCAUUUUUAUAGUUGUUUACUGCAAAAAAGAGUCUG
rnacentral:lncRNA from 10 species